rnacentral:rRNA from 1 species
AUACGGAAGGUCCGGGCGUUAUCCGGAUUUAUUGGGUUUAAAGGGAGCGCAGGCGGAGAUGCAAGCGUGACGUCAAAUUUCGGGGCUCAACCCCGUCUCGCGUCGCGAACUGCGUCCCUUGGUUGCGGGAAGGGGAGGCGGAACUCGUGGUGUAGCGGUGAAAUGCAUAGAUAUCACGAAGAACUCUGAUCGCGAAGGCAGCCUUCCGGCCCGUCAACGACGCUCAUGCUCGAAGGUGCGGGUAUCAAACAGGAUUAGAUACCCUGGUAGUCCGCACAGUAAACGAUGGACACCCGCGGUUUGGCCUAUAUGGCUGAGCCGCCAAGCGAAAGCGUUAAGUGUCCCACCUGGGGAGUACGCCGGCAACGGUGAAACUCAAAGGAAUUGACGGGG